GGCUCAGGACGAACGCUGGCGGCGUGCCUAACACAUGCAAGUCGAGCGAGGAGAUUCCUCGGGAUGAUCCUAGCGGCGGACGGGUGAGUAACACGUGGGCAACCUGCCUCAUAGAGAGGAAUAGCCUUCCGAAAGGGAGAUUAGUACCUCAUAACAUUGCAGUUUCGCAUGGAACAGCAAUUAAAGGAGUAAUCCGCUAUGAGAUGGGGCCCGCGGCGCAUUAGCUAGUUGGUGAGGUAACGGCUCACCAAGGCGACGAUGCGUAGCCGACCUGAGAGGGUGAUCGGCCACAUUGGGACUGAGACACGGCCCAGACUCCUACGGGAGGCAGCAGUGGGGAAUAUUGCACAAUGGGGGAAACCCUGAUGCAAGCAACGCCGCGUGAGUGAUGACGGCCUUCGGGUUGUAAAGCUCUGUCUUCAGGGACGAUAAUGACGGUACCUGAGGAGGAAGCCACGGCUAACUACGUGCCAGCCGCAGC
rnacentral:rRNA from 1 species